rnacentral:rRNA from 1 species
GGGGAAUAUUGCACAAUGGGGGGAACCCUGAUGCAGCAACGCCGCGUGAGCGAAGAAGGCCUUCGGGUCGUAAAGCUCUGUCCUAAGGGAAGAAUAAAUGACGGUACCUUAGGAGGGAGCCCCGGCUAACUACGUGCCAGCAGCCGCGGUAAUACGUAGGGGGCAAGCGUUAUCCGGAAUCACUGGGCGUAAAGGGUGCGUAGGCGGCCAAUAAAGUCAGGGGUUAAAGGCUAGGGCUCAACCUUAGUAAGCCUUUGAAACUUAUUGGCUUGAGUGCAGGAGAGGUAAGUGGAAUUCCUAGUGUAGCGGUGAAAUGCGUAGAUAUUAGGAGGAACACCAGUGGCGAAGGCGACUUACUGGACUGUAACUGACGCUGAGGCACGAAAGCGUGGGUAGCGAAC